AUGACGCCGAUGCUGCCCAGAGUGUCGGCGAUGAUGUGGAGGAGGACGCCUGCAAACAAACCAUCAUCCACUCAAACGCAGCUUCCCCUCGUUUCUCGCCGUCUGGACCUGCCUGGUUGCCAUGGAGACGGCGUCACAUGACCGGAGGGGUCGGCGUUCCGGUGACGAAACAGACCGCCACUGUGUGUGUCUGUCUGAGCUGAACCGGGUCCAGCGACACCAGCGAGGGUCCCGGUCCACUUCACACCCCAGUUUCCAUGGCGACCAGCGGCGGAGACAAAAGCCGCCAGAAACGGCUCCUUUCAAAUCAUCUGGAAAAACGAUCCAAACUAAGCCGGGUUUAAUCUGUACUUAAAGCAACAUAGUUAUUUAGAUAUGAAGUUUCGUGUCAUUUUUAUUUUAUCAUCAUGAAUUAAAUGAUAACCUGAG